UGGCCGCAUAUGAUUUGACGGUCCUCA
rnacentral:sRNA from 1 species